CCUACUGUAGGCAGCAGUGAGGAAUAUUGGUCCAUGGGCGGAAGCCUGAACCAGCCAAGUAGCGUGCAGGAUGACGGCCCUACGGGUUGUAAACUGCUUUUAUACGUGAAUAACGCGCCUUACGUGUAGGGCUUUGCAUGUACCGUAUGAAUAAGGCCCGGCUAAUUCCUUGCCAGCAGCCGCGGUAAUACGGAAGGUCCGGGCGUUAUCCGGCUUUAUUGGGUUUAAAGGGUGCGGAGGCGGAAGCGACAAGUCAGCGGUAAACUUGCGGGGCUCAACCUCGCCGAGCCGUUGAAACUGCUCUGCUAGAGUGGGCGAGAAGUAUGCGGAAUGCGUGGUGUAGCGGUGAAAUGCAUAGAUAUCACGCAGAACUACGAGUGCGAAGGCAGCAUACCGGCGCCCAACUGACGCUCAUGCACGAAAGCGUGGGUAUCGAACAGGAUUAGAUACCCGUGUAGUC
rnacentral:rRNA from 1 species